rnacentral:rRNA from 1 species
GAGUUUGAUCCUGGCUCAGGAUGAACGCUGGCGGUGUGCCUAAUACAUGCAAGUCGAACGGGGUGCAGCAAUGUACCAAGUGGCGACCGGGUGCGUAACACGUAGCUGACCUGCCCCUCAGCGGGGGACAACAGUUCGAAAGGACUGCUAAUACCGCAUGAGCUUGGGGUUACCAGAAAACCCUAAGGAAACUUCCGGGGCUGAGGGAGGGGGCUGCGGCCCAUCAGGUAGUUGGUGAGGUAAAAGCUCACCAAGCCAACGACGGGUCGGGGACCUGAGAGGGUGGUCCCCCACACUGGGACUGACAGACGGCCCAGACUCCUACGGGAGGCAGCAGUAAGGGAUAUUGCGCAAUGGGCGAAAGCCUGACGCAGCAACACCGCGUGGAGGAUGAAGGCCUUCGGGUCGUAAACUCGUUUGACGCUGACGAGGAAGGACGGUAGGCGUCGAAGAAGUCACGGCUAACUACGUGCCAGCCGCCGCCGUAAC